AAUCCGGUAGGUAAGGCUACCACAGGGAUAUGGGUCGCUGCCGCAAAGAGAUGGAGACAUCUCACGUUGGUUUGAACAGGUCCUGUCGAAAAACAAGGCAGAAUCUAACGCGACUUCACCGCCCUGUGAUGCUAAAGCUUGAACGGUGG
rnacentral:sRNA from 1 species